rnacentral:rRNA from 1 species
CGGACGGGGGAGUAAUGUCUGGGAAACUGCCCGAUGGAGGGGGGUAACUACUGGAACGGUAGCUAAUACCGCAUAACGUCGCAAGACCAAAGAGGGGGACCUUAGGGCCUCUUGCCAUCGGAUGUGCCCAGAUGGGAUUAGCUAGUAGGUGGGGUAACGGCUCACCUAGGCGACGAUCCCUAGCUGGUCUGAGAGGAUGACCAGCCACACUGGAACUGAGACACGGUCCAG